CCCUAAAUGGUCGGUCCCUGAUGACGUAUAUUUAUUUACCCCUAUAGUGAUGACUAAGAAAAUCAAUUCACUCUAAUAGCUUUGAUCUGUCAAAUCAAUAGUACAGAUAAAUCAAAAUUGGUUAUUGUUUGAUUCUAUAUUUCUUUUUUAGCUUUUUUACAUUUUAAUGUUACUAUAUAUAUUUAUAUUUAAACAAAAUCUGUUUGUCUCUUCUUUGCCUAGAUGUUGUUGGACUAAUGUAUAUCUGUUUGUCUAGAUGCUUGUUGUUGGGCUAAUGUUUAUCUGUUUGUCUAGAUACUUGUUGUUGGGCUAAUGUUUAUCUGUUUUGUCUUUGUUU
rnacentral:lncRNA from 1 species